UACGUAGGGUGCAAGCGUUAUUCGGAAUCACUGGGCUUAAAGCGCGCGUAGGCGGGUCGGCGCGUCGGAUGCUGAAAGCCCCCGGCUCAACCGGGGAAGGGGCACCGAAACGGCCGGCCUGGAGUGGGGUAGGGGGAGCCGGAACUUCCGGUGGAGCGGUGAAAUGCGUUGAGAUCGGAAGGAACGCCCGUGGCGAAAGCGGGCUCCUGGACCCCAACUGACGCUGAGGCGCGAAAGCCAGGGGAGCGAACGGG
rnacentral:rRNA from 1 species